rnacentral:rRNA from 1 species
AUUGAACGCUGGCGGCAUGCUUUACACAUGCAAGUCGAACGGCAGCGCGGGCUUCGGCCUGGCGGCGCGUGGCGAACGGGUGAGUAAUGCAUCGGAAUGUGCCCAGUAGUGGGGGAUAGCCCGGCGAAAGCCGGAUUAAUACCGCAUACGACCUGAGGGUGAAAGCGGGGGACCGAAAGGCCUCGCGCUCUUGGAGCGGCCGAUGUCGGAUUAGCUAGUUGGUGGGGUAAAGGCUUACCAAGGCGGCGAUCCGUAGCUGGUCUGAGAGGACGACCAGCCACACUGGGACUGGGACACGGCCCAGACUCCUACGGGAGGCAGCAGUGGGGAAUGUUGGACAAUGGGGGCAAACAUUAUCCAGCGAUGCCGCGUGCGGGAAGAAGGCCUUCGGGUUGUAAACCGGUUUUGUUCGGGAAGAAAUCCUCUGGGCUAAUACCACGGGGGGAUGACGGUACCGGAAGAAGAAGCACCGGCUAACUACGUG